UACGUAGGGGGCGAGCGUUAUCCGAAUUUAUUGGGCGUAAAGCGUGUGUAGGCGGUUUAUUAAGUCUAUGAUUAAAGCCCGGGGCUUAACCUCGGUUUGUUAUAGAAACUGGUAGACUUGAGUGCAGUAGAGGCAAGUGGAAUUUCUAGUGUAGCGGUUAAAUGCGUAGAUAUUAGAAGGAACACCAGUGGCGAAGGCGGCUUGCUGGGCUGUUACUGACGCUGAGACACGAAAGCGUGGGGAGCAAA
rnacentral:rRNA from 1 species